UACGAAGGGGGCUAGCGUUGUUCGGAAUUACUGGGCGUAAAGCGCACGUAGGCGGAUUGUUAAGUUAGGGGUGAAAUCCCAGGGCUCACCCCUGGAACUGCCUUUAAUACUGGCAAUCUCGAGUCCGAGAGAGGUGAGUGGAAUUCCGAGUGUAGAGGUGAAAUUCGUAGAUAUUCGGAGGAACACCUGUGGCGAAGGCGGCUCACUGGCUCGGUACUGACGCUGAGGUGCGAAAGCGUGGGGAGCAAACAGG
rnacentral:rRNA from 1 species